CUGAACAAACAUAUAUAUUAAUCCUGACGGGACACAUACUAAAAUAACAUUCCCAAACACGGCAGUAAGAAAGGAUGAACUAUGAAAAGAAUGUGCAGAUAAAUGAAUGAAACUUCGGAGGACAAAAAUAUGAUUUCAGGACGACAGGCUGUGCCUUGGCCAUCCGCCCAUCUUAUAUUGGCCUUAGACACAAAUCAUGGAGUAGAGAGCAACUGUCUGGAGGGGGGUCUUCAGUCACCCCACCCAGGGGGAGACAUGUCCCACUGUCCCAUUGCAGUGGCCUCAGGAAUAGGAGAUCAAGACCCACCUGUUGUGAUGAAUAAAUCCAGGCUCUCAGCAACACAGGGAGAAGCAGCUUACAACACCACGGCAACCAGGUAACUGCACAGAC